rnacentral:rRNA from 1 species
AUUGAACGCUGGCGGCAUGCUUUACACAUGCAAGUCGAACGGCAGCGCGGGGCAACCUGGCGGCGAGUGGCGAACGGGUGAGUAAUAUAUCGGAACGUACCCAGAAGUGGGGGAUAACGUAGCGAAAGUUACGCUAAUACCGCAUACGAUCUACGGAUGAAAGUAGGGGACCGCAAGGCCUUAUGCUUUUGGAGCGGCCGAUAUCUGAUUAGCUAGUUGGUGAGGUAAAGGCUCACCAAGGCGACGAUCAGUAGCUGGUCUGAGAGGACGACCAGCCACACUGGAACUGAGACAGGGUCCAGACUCCUACGGGAGGCAGCAGUGGGGAAUUUUGGACAAUGGGCGCAAGCCUGAUCCAGCAAUGCCGCGUGAGUGAAGAAGGCCUUCGGGUUGUAAAGCUCUUUUGUCAGGGAAGAAACGGUAGAGGCUAAUAUCCUUUGCUAAUGACGGUACCUGAAGAAUAAGCACCGGCUAACUACGUG